rnacentral:lncRNA from 1 species
UGACACUAAGUCUGGAAGACAGCAGCUAAUAAAUAAAUGCUAGCUGAAUGAAUGGCGAAAAAAUGAAUAACCCUGAGUCAACCAUCGUAUCUUUAAGAAAUUAUUAUAAUAGUAACAACAAGGAGAUGACUAAUAUAAUUUUACUAAGUUUAGAAAGCCUUGGAAGGUUAAACAUCAUGAGAGCAGUAGUCCUAUCAAGUGUUUUAUUAUAUUAGCAAUUAUCUUUUACAUUCUAGUAAAAUCCAGGCCUUUAUUCAUAUUUUUCUCUGUGAAAGGUACAAUCAAUCAAUUAUGAAGGUGAAAUUAUGUUGAUGCUGAGGCAGUAUGGGGAAACCUAAAUAGGUGGAGUACUCAAGUCACAGAAAAUCAUGAAAAUGAAGCUCAAGUGAUGGAUUAGUGAAGACGGAAGAGAAAACAUCCCGUCAUCUCUGUACUUGUGAUGCCUGAGAAGGAGCAAGUAUUUCACGAAUGUUUGUGGAGUAAAGAAAAAUUAUCAAGUCCUUUGAGAAAUGACUGCAGGAGAGGUAGGAGCAAUCGUUACUUUCUCCUGGGAGCCUGGAAGCUGCCUUGCCCCCACACUUCCCCUGUGUACUCCUCUUCACUUCUCACUGUGAAAAGGCAAAAUAAAAUGGAGAAGGAAAAGUGGAUGAGUGGAAGGUAA